UUCUGUCUGUGCCACACCAUACAUACAACCGUCGGCCUGCCACUGAAACCAAAUUGCCACCACCACCACUACCAGCUAUAAGUAAUGCCUCGACGAUGGUGCUGCACAACGAUGAGUAUUAAACUGGGUCGCAGUAAGGCAUUGCUGCUGCUAUAACCAAUGAAAUCUUGCGUCGUGGGUCGUUGCUAUUGCUUGCUUCACUAUCAAAGCUAGACAAUGCUCUGUGUACACAGCAUUACACCCUCCUGAC
rnacentral:lncRNA from 1 species